rnacentral:rRNA from 1 species
AUUGAACGCUGGCGGCAGGCCUAACACAUGCAAGUCGAACGAGUGGCGGACGGGUGAGUCAUGUCUCGGUGACUGUUCGAUGGUGGUGGCUAACUACCGGAAACGGUAGUUAAUACCGCAUACCAUCGGAUGUGCCCCGAGGGGAUUAGCUAGUGGGUGGGGUAACGGCUCACCUAGGCGACGAUCCCUAGCUGGUCUGAGAGGAUGACCAGCCACACUGGAACUGAGACACGGUCCAGACUCCUACGGGAGGCAGCAGUGGGGAAUAUUGCACAAUGGGCGCAAGCCUGAUGCAGCCAUGCCGCGUGUGUGAAGAAGGCCUUCGGGUUGUAAAGUACUUUCAGCGGGGAGGCGUUACCCGCAGAAGAAGCACCGGCUAACUCCGUGCCAGCAGCCGCGGUAAUAC